rnacentral:sRNA from 1 species
GUCGGCUUGUCAGGUGGUGGAGGAAAAGGCGCUCCGUCAUGGGGAUCCAGACGAGCCCCGUCCUGCUGGCCUCCCUGGGGGUGGGGCUGGUCACUCUGCUCGGCCUGGCUGUGGGCUCCUACUUGGUUCGGAGGUCCCGCCGGCCUCAGGUCACUCUCCUGGACCCCAAUGAAAAGUACCUGCUACGACUGCUAGACAAGACGGCAAACAUAUCUACCUCUCCACCCGAAUUGAUGGCAGCCUGGUCAUCAGGCCAUACACUCCUGUCACCAGUGAUGAGGAUCAAGGCUACGUGGAUCUUGUCAUCAAGGUCUACCUGAAGGGUGUGCACCCCAAAUUUCCUGAGGGAGGGAAGAUGUCUCAGUACCUGGAUAGCCUGAAGGUUGGGGAUGUGGUGGAGUUUCGGGGGCCAAGCGGGUUGCUCACUUACACUGGAAAAGGGCAUUUUAAUAUUCAGCCCAACAAGAAAUCUCCACCAGAACCCCGAGUGGCGAAGAAACUGGGAAUGAUUGCCGGCGGGACAGGAAUCACCCCAAUGCUACAGCUGAUCCGGGCCAUCCUAAAAGUCCCAGAAGAUCCAACCCAGUGCUUUCUGCUUUUUGCCAACCAGACAGAAAAGGAUAUCAUCUUGCGGGAGGACUUAGAGGAACUGCAGGCCCGCUAUCCCAAUCGCUUUAAGCUCUGGUUCACUCUGGAUCAUCCCCCAAAAGAUUGGGCCUACAGCAAGGGCUUUGUGACUGCCGACAUGAUCCGGGAACACCUGCCUGCUCCAGGGGAUGAUGUGCUGGUACUGCUUUGUGGGCCACCCCCAAUGGUGCAGCUGGCCUGCCAUCCCAACUUGGACAAACUGGGCUACUCACAAA